CAUAUCUUCAGCAGAGCAGUGACCAAAUGUGAACCUUCCUAGUCCACCUGGAAUCUAAUACGCUAGAUCAUUUUUUCUCAGUAAUCUAAAUGAAUUCAUAACUAUUCUCUCUGAAUCCAUCUAUUAGAAUAAUUUACAAGACAGUGUACUUCCCUUGACUUCUUGGCCUUCCUUAGAAUAACACUGGGAUGUUAGUUGGAUAUUUUCUAAUUCCCAAGUCUCUCCCCCUGGGGAGAACAAUGGAGUCUAGGAAAAGGACCUGUAACACAAACCUCAGAGAGGUUGCAGGUGUUUAAAAUACAUGAUACCUCCAAGGGCACAUCCCACACCCCACUCCCAGCACUGGAUGAGAUGUUCGCAGGAGCCUUGUGGUGGCUGAAACUCUCCAGCCACAGGCCGGCAGGUACGAAGAUAGGGCUGCUUCUUAGAUUCCAACUCCUGAAUGUCCUUCAUGAUUUUAUUUUUCUCCUAAGAUAUAUCUCCAUUUGUCUUAGUCAGUUUGAGCUGCUAUAACAGAACACCAUACACUGGAUGGCUUAAGCAACAAACAUUUAUUUCUCAUAGUUCUGGAGGCUGGGAAGUCCAAGAUCAAGGUGCUAGUCAAUUCACUGUUUGGUGAGAGCCCUCCUCCUGGUUUGCACAUGGCUACCUUCUUGCUAUAUCCUCACAUGGAGGAGGGAGAAAUCAUCUCUUUCUUGUCUCUUCUUAUAAAGGUAGUAAUCCCAUUCACGAGAGCUCCAGCUUCAUGGGCUAAUUACCUCCCAAAGGCCCCACCUCCAAACACCAUCACUUUGGGAAUUAGGAUUCAACAUAGGAAUUUAGAUGGGACACAAUCAUAUAGUCUGUAGCAUCAUUUGAUCACGUUACUACCAGUCCACACAAAGUUUCUUCUCUUAAUCCAUGACAAAUUUGAAAAAGGAGGAAGAAUUAGACUUUUGGUCUGAAGUGGGUAAAUAAACAUCUUGGCCCUAACAAUUGCAGGACCCAGCACAAGAGUAUAGACGGAGACUCUUAUACACCAUGAGCUGUGGGGCACUCAAUCCAAGCCAAGCAACUCUAGCCUACAAGGUGCUCCUGAUCUCUAACCUCUGCCAACAUCACACUUUUAAGGUUAGAAGGCCAGAUUGAACUAUAGAAUUCCCAGAUUUCUUAGAGUUCUAGACCAGAAUAUGGCAGCAUUGAGAGAGCCAGUCCCCUUUCACCCAGGCCCUGGACUGCAGCCUGCAUCUCUCCCUACUCUUCCCAUGCUGGGCUCCAUCCUAUGCUGCAAGGGACCUCCAGGACCAUGCGUGUGGACAUUCCAGCCAUCAAGUUCUAUACUCAUCUAUUUCUCAUGAGAGCACUUCCUCAGUAAAUGACUUACACAAGAAUCCACGUCUCAGGCUCUGCUUCCAUGGAUUUUGACCCAAGACAGAAGAGUAGCGAAAUACUGGAGCAACUGAUAGAAAAGGGAAUGGGAGAGAGGAGCAUUAAUUUGGACUUGCUUGGUAGAUACCAUCAAUCUUUUCCCAACAUAGUCUGAGUUCUCUUGGAGCACCCUUCACACAGAAUGAGUGUGAUCACAGCUAGAGGAGAAAACUGCAAGACACUGAAGAAGUAAGGCAUAUCAAGUACGUUUGAUCUAAAAUUGACUUUCUGAUGUCAGUUCUUCAACUAGAGAGCCAAAUGCCCAUUGAAAUAGUCCUAAGUGCAUUUUAUUGAGUGACCCAAAUUUUAAAAUCUAAGUACCUUUCAAACAUAGAUUGGAGAACCCAUGAGCACCUAGGGAUCAGCAAAACAUCCUCAACAAUUUUUCAAGUGUUUUAUUUUUGGCAAAACUCAAUUUAACUCAUUUUGCAAGCACUCUUCCCUUCAGUUUUUAAACCCUUGGGUAUUUCAAAGGAAAUUUAAUCCAUAUGUUUCUGAUUCAUUUACAUUUUAAGUCAUAAAAAUGUUAUUUUUAUAAGAGCUGUUUGAUAUCCAAGAAACUUUCUGAGCCUUUUAAAAAAUCUCUUUAAAGUCUUGUUAGUUGGAGCCAGGGAGCAGACAUGGUGUGUGAUGCACCACGCGAAAAUGUGAUCCAGACAGACUCAACCAUAGCCUGACCUCAGAACAAUGCUUACCACAUCCAGCCAAAAAAUAAUGGCAACGAGAUGAUCAAGACAGUUGGUCUGGACACCAGAGAAUCCUUGAGAAAUGUGAGAGAAGCCAAUGGCAAAUGAUAGCAAAGAUUAAAGCGGGAUUCAUCAGUGUGUCGUUGACGUGUUUGGGCAUAUAAGGACUAGACUAUCAUGCAUUACAGCAAGCUAUCACUCCUGGCAGCUUUCAGGAAUCUGCAGGCUUCUACAAGACUAAGUCCCAUAUCACCACCCAAAUACUUUAUGUGAAGAAAAUUGUGCCUUUUCUCAGCAUUGUAUAUAAUAAUAAAACAUCAAAA
rnacentral:lncRNA from 1 species